rnacentral:rRNA from 1 species
AUUGAACGCUGGCGGAAUGCUUAACACAUGCAAGUCGAGCGAGCUGUAGCAAUACAGCUAGCGGCGGACGGGUGAGGAAUACAUAGGAAUCUGCCUCAGAGCGGGGGAUAGCCCGGGGAAACUCGGAGUAAUACCGCAUGAUGUCGCAAGACCAAAGUGGGGGACCGCAAGGCCCCACACUCUGAGAUGAGCCUAUGUCUGAUUAGCUAGUUGGCGGGGUAAUGGCCCACUAAGGCGACGAUCAGUAGCUGGUCUGAGAGGACGAUCAGCCACACCGGAACUGAGACACGGUCCGGACGCCUACGGGAGGCAGCAGUGGGGAAUAUUGGACAAUGGGCGCAAGCCUGAUCCAGCAAUUCCGCGUGGGUGAAGAAGGCCUUCGGGUUGUAAAGCCCUUUAAGUUGGGACAAAAAAAUCGGCGAUAACAUCGCCGGUCUUGAUGGUACCGACAGAAUAAGCAACGGCUAACUCUGUGCCAGCCGCCGCCGUAA